rnacentral:lncRNA from 1 species
AUGUACGCUGUUGUGGGGUCUACAAGGCCGCCGGGGGUGCUACCGCUGCGCUGGAGUGGUACUCCUACAAAUGAAGUGAAUUUCCAGGUCUCUACAAUCUGUGAGAGGAGUAUCUCGUCUGGGAAGGAGGCCUCCACGUCAGGCAGGACUUCUACUCCUUUGCGGUCCAUGUAUCCAGCCAACGUCUCUUUGACACUAACAAGGUAGAAUGAGAGAGAGAGGAAAAGUCUUGUGAUUUCAGACCUCAGACUAUUUAAAAAAAAAAAUAUUUCACCUUUAUUUAACCAGGUAAGCUAGUUGGGAACAAGUUCUCAUUUACAACUGCGACCUGGCCAAGGUAAAGCAAAGCAGUGUGACAUAAACAACAACACGGAGUUACACAUGGAAUAAACAAACGUACAGUCAAUAACACAACAGAAAAAAAGAAAGUCUAUAUAGAGUGUGUGCAAAUGGCGUGAGGAGGUAAGGCAAUAAAUAGGCCAUAGUAACAGAGUAAUUACAAUUUAGCAGAUUAACACUGGAGUGAUAGAUGAACAUAUGAUGAUGAGCAGAUGAAGGUGUGCAAAAGAGCAGCAAAGUAAAUAAAACAAUAUGGGGAUGAGGUAGGUAAAUUGGGUGGGCUAUUUACAGAUGGACUAUGUACAGCUGCAGCGAUCGGUUAGCUGCUCAGAUAGCUGAUGUUCAAAGUUAGUGAGGGAAAUGUAAGUCUCCAGCUUCAUUGAUUUUUGCAAUUCGUUCCAGUCACUGGCAGCAGAGAACUGGAAGGAAAGGCGGCCAAAGGGGGUGUUGGCUUUGUGGAUGACCACUGAGAUUUACCUGCUGGAGCAUGUGCUACGGGUGGUUGUUGUUAUCGUGACCAGUGAGCUGAGAUAAGGCGGAGCUUUACCUAGCAUAGCCUUAUAGAUGACCUGGAGCCAGUGGGUCUGGCGACAAAUAUGUAGUGAGGGCCAGCCGACGAGAGCAUACAGGUCGCAGUGGUUGGGUGAUAUAAGGGGCUUUGAUAACAAAACGGAUGGCACUAUGAUAGACUACAUCCAGUUUGCUAAGUAGAGUAUUGGAACAGUUUUUACCCCUAAGCCAUAAGACUCCUGAACAGGUAACCAAAUAGUUACCCGGACUAUUUGCAUUGUGUGUGUCCCCCCAAUGCCUAUUUUACGCUGCUGCUACUCUCUGUUAAUCUUAUAUGCAUAGUCACUUUAACUUUACAUUCAUGUACAUACUACCUCAAUUGGGCCAACUAACCAGUGCUCCCGCACAUUGGCUAACCGGGCUAUCUGCAUUGUGUCCCACCGCCCGCCAACCCCUCUUUUUACGCUUCUGAUACUCUCUGUUCAUCAUAUAUGCAUAGUCACUUUAACCAUUCCCAUAUAUAAGAAAGCUCAGGAAUUCGAAAACAUUUUUGGACACAUAUUUAACUCCUUAUUUUUGUCGGCACAAA